rnacentral:tRNA from 1 species
GCCUGGUUGGCUCAGUGGUUGAGCGUCUGCCUAUGACCCAGGGCAUGAUUCCGGAGUUCUGGGAUUGAGUCCCACAACAGGCU